AAUGAACGUUGGCGGCGUGGAUUAGGCAUGCAAGUCGUGCGAGAAUCUCCCUUCGGGGAGAGGACAGCGGCGACAGGGAGAGUAACGCGUGGUUACAUACUCUCGGGACCGGGAUAGUAGCGGGAAACUGCUAGUAAUACCGGAUAAUAUCUUGGGAUCAAAGGUGUGAUUCCUCCCGAGGAUUGGACCGCGUUCUAUUAGCUUGUUGGCGGGGUAAUGGCCCACCAAGGCGACGAUGGAUACCGGGUGUGAGAGCAUGGCCCGGAUCACUGGGACUGAGACACUAGACAGACACCUACGGGUGGCUGCAGUCGAGAAUCUUCGGCAAUGGGGGCAACCCUGACCGAGCGACGCCGCGUGCGGGAUGAAGGCCUUCGGGUUGUAAACCGCUGUCAGUUGGGAGGAAGUGCCAGGGGGUUCUCCCCUUGGUUUGACCGAUCUUCAGAGGAAGGACGGGCUAAGUUCGUGCCAGCAGCCGCCGUAAUAC
rnacentral:rRNA from 1 species